GACGAACGCUGGCGGCGUGCCUAAUACAUGCAAGUCGAGCGGACCUCUUCGGAGGUCAGCGGCGGACGGGUGAGUAACACGUGGGCAACCUGCCUGUAAGACUGGGAUAACUCCGGGAAACCGGAGCUAAUACCGGAUAUUAUUCCAAACCGCAUGGUCUGACAUUCAAAGACGGUUUCGGCUGUCACUUACAGAUGGGCCCGCGGCGCAUUAGCUAGUUGGUGAGGUAAUGGCUCACCAAGGCAACGAUGCGUAGCCGACCUGAGAGGGUGAUCGGCCACACUGGGACUGAGACACGGCCCAGACUCCUACGGGAGGCAGCAGUAGGGAAUCUUCCGCAAUGGACGAAAGUCUGACGGAGCAACGCCGCGUGAGUGAUGAAGGUUUUCGGAUCGUAAAACUCUGUUGUCAGGGAAGAACAAGUGCCGGAGUAACUGCCGGCGCCUUGACGGUACCUGACCAGAAAGCCACGGCUAACUACGUGCCAGCAGCCGCCGUAAUAC
rnacentral:rRNA from 1 species